AGUGAACGCUGGCGGUAGGCCUAACGCAUGCCAGUCGAACGGCAGCACAGUAAGAGCUUGCUCUUACGGGUGGCGAGUGGCGGACGGGUGAGGAAUACAUCGGAAUCUACUUUUUCGUGGGGGAUAACGUAGGGAAACUUACGCUAAUACCGCAUACGACCUACGGGUGAAAGCAGGGGAUCUUCGGACCUUGCGCGAUUGAAUGAGCCGAUGUCGGAUUAGCUAGUUGGCGGGGUAAAGGCCCACCAAGGCGACGAUCCGUAGCUGGUCUGAGAGGAUGAUAAGCCACACUGGAACUGAGACACGGUCCAGACUCCUACGGGAGGCAGCAGUGGGGAAUAUUGGACAAUGGGCGCAAGCCUGAUCCAGCCAUACCGCGUGGGUGAAGAAGGCCUUCGGGUUGUAAAGCCCUUUUGUUGGGAAAGAAAAGCAGCAGGUUAAUACCCCGCUGUUCUGACGGUACCCAAAGAAUAAGCACCGGCUAACUUCGUG
rnacentral:rRNA from 1 species